GUUGGCAGCCUGAUGGACUAAUUAUUAUCAGAGUUUGUUCUGAUCCUUGGACUCCCUAGAUAGAGCUUUUGUGUGCUGAAUGGUGAGGCUGAUACUAAAACGAGUAAGACACUGGCCCUGCUCUCUCCAGGAAGCUCACAACCUGAGAAGUUAUGUUGGGGAGGAGAGGCUGUAAUCCGGAUUCCUCCAUCAUGAAAACUCUUCAUCCUGGGAGAUUUGCUUCGCCCUGGAAUUCACACCUCAGAAGUACCCUUAGCCCUUGGGGCCUCUGACUCUGAUUGGGCAGCUUCUCCCAGAACCUUUGUUUAAGGAGGGUGUCCUGGUUGGCUGCAGUCUGGAUUUUUCCACCAAGUCCUCCUGAGCAAAGAGCCCCUGAGGUGGGGGGAGACAAGGAAGCUUACUUCAGACAAGUCAAAACACUACCACCUUGACCACCAUCUCCCUUCAGAAACCGUUGGAGACAAUCCCAGGAGCCUUAGGAAUAGUAGCGCUUGUGGCCUAGUGUCCACAGUUAUCAUCCUGGGAAGGAAUCCCUAUGGAGAUGCAGCUUGGUAACUGCUCCUUUGGGGGCUACAGAUGAAGCUGUCAAAGACCCAAAAGAAAAAGUUCUUGGCACUGCCGAAUGGCUCAACAUCAGAAAUGGAUACAAUUUUAUGAGUGCAAUUGAUGUGAAAGACAAACCUUAAAUUCAUUCAUUUAUUACCAUGUUGUCAGACUCCGGAAUUUUUACACAUUGUAUUUAUUCAUACAUUUUGCUUUUUAUUUUAUUCGAUAUACAUCUUUUUUUUUUAAAUUUAACUUUCAUGAAAAAAUGUUGGUUAAAUGUUUUAUACACAUCAAUAAAGUCACUGUUGUCCUGUAGCACUGUAACUGAAA